UACAGAGGUCUCAAGCGUUGUUCGGAUUCAUUGGGCGUAAAGGGUGCGUAGGCGGCGCGGUAAGUCGGGUGUGAAAUCUCGGAGCUCAACUCCAGAACUGCCUUUGAUACUGGCGAUCUCGAGUCCGGGAGAGGUGAGUGGAACUGCGAGUGUAGAGGUGAAAUUCGUAGAUAUUCGCAAGAACACCAGUGGCGAAGGCGGCUCACUGGCCCGGUACUGACGCUGAGGUGCGAAAGCGUGGGGAGCAAACAGG
rnacentral:rRNA from 1 species